rnacentral:rRNA from 1 species
AUGCUGCAAUUCCCGGCGCUGAUGCGGCAGUGGCCGUCGCCGCCGCUGAUUCCGGCGUCCACACUCCUCCCCGUGCCCGCAACUACCCAGGAGGACGAGCUCCUCCUCGCCAUGGCCGAGUCCGACCUCGAGGACAAGCUGAACGCGAUCCGCAAGACCAACAGCAACCUGGUGAUCAUAGGCAAGCCCACCAACGACGUCAAGGAGGAGUACGACGCGGAGGUGGAGGAGGACGACGUCGACAACGUCGACGAGUCCGACGGGGACGACUUCGACCAAGAAACCGGCUGA